AGUGCGUCGCGCGAACGCUGGCAGCGUCUUUGUGUGUUUUGCCGUAACCUGGAGAACGAAGGCAUCCCCGACUCACUUUAUGGGAAUCGUCUACUCACUGGAGCAAGUUAAGCCAAGUCGGCGGGCAGGUCUCCGUGCGAAGAUAGAGAUAAGCGAGAACUAUGGUCACCUUCGAGAUACACUAUGUGCCUUAGACGCGAUGCGAAAUAUCGAUUACGAGUGUUACUGCAUGCAUUAAUAUGCGGAAGAGCGCGCGUCUAGAGACGGAGUUGUAACAAGUGAAAUGGACUUGGGCUUUCACGCAAUGUAAUUUGAAAUAUGAGCGAUGUGCACAUUUCGAUGUGCAACGCAUCGCAGCGCAACGCUCACGCUAUGCCGAUAAACAAUGCCCACUUUAGGAAGCGACUUUCGCGUAUGCGAAUGUGGAAAUUCUUAACAUAGAUCAUUGUCGAAGUUACGCAAUGAAAUAUCUCAAGCAUGCACAAAAUAUAAUAUGCUUACAAAAUGUAUGUUUUUCUCUCAAACGAAAUUUCAAGAAAUUGCAACUCGGAAUCUUCAGUUAUCGUGAUCUUUUUCGGGAUUAAACGUUUUAAUUGUCUCAAGUAACAUUUAUAUGGGAAUAAGCUCCAUUGUUAUAAAAAGUAAUGUGUCGUUAAGUUGAACUAUAUUAAUUACAAAAAGGAGCAUGAUUCACUAGAGCGGAUGUAAGUAGGGCAUUGGGUCACCACGCGGCACAUCGAUGCAAUAUUACAAGCUUAUCCACGAUCUGUGAUCUAUGAGUUUCUAUGUUACGCGCAUGUCUCUCGCCCUUACACAACGUAAUAUGCCGUGGCAUCAUUUAUACACCGCUUUUAUUACAUCGUAACAAGAAUUAUAUUCAUGUCUGUGUAAACUCCAACAAAAUUGCUAGAGCAAAACUGUUAUAGCAUUUAAAUUUAGGAAUCAACUAUGUUAUAUCGUAAUAUUAACAUUAAUCUGAAUCGCGAAUCUUUUUCUCUGAGUAACUAAGUAUUAUUUAUUGCAAAAUAAUCAUUAAAUAAAAUAGAUACUUAAACACGAGAUUCUAUCUAUAAAAUAAUGUGAAAUAUUAUAUUUAAAAUAUUUUAUUUUUAAAACUAAUGUAAUAACGUAAUGUUUCUUUGCGGAGAAGUCAGAAGCUGUCUUGGAGACACUCCUUAUUGAUGUAAAUAAACUAAUGAAUAUACUCGGGUCCGAAGUAAUUCGAUGGCUGAGUAAGCAUUUAAAAUAGUUGAGAAAGCAGUUGGUUAAUGCACAUAUUGCAUUUAAUAAAUCAUCUUACUGAAUCAAAAUAAGAUACAAUGUGCUUUUAUUCUAUUUUUUUUAAUUAAUUUAAUUUUCAAUUUACUUUUAAGUUAAGCGAUAAAUUUAUGAAAGUAAGUUUUUGUCCUGUCUCUAAUUUCCGACUGUACUAAAUUCAGAAAGAGAAAACUCGCUUAACUCCUCAAUUAACGUUAGUUAAUAUUUAUAAGAGUUGGCUUUCUAAAUAUUUGAUUAAAACCGCUAGUUCAUCAAUUUUUAGCUACUCGCGCAAGCAAACGUUGCGUGAAGGAUGUGAUGGAAACCGAGACAUCCGGUCAGCCCGUGUUUACGGCAUCUAAGUAGUGCAUUAUGUAGGUAUAAGUGCGAGCAAGAUGAGAACAGUUAAGGGCUAACGGUAGAUGCACUAUUGCGGGCGGCUACGGCGGCCUUCCGCUUUCUCAGGCACUCCUAGCUUGAUCCGACGAAGGCCACGUGCACUCGUUCAUCGCGCCGAGCCGCGAUUCGUAAACAGAUGCGCAUUCGCAGCCGAGCUUGAUUCCUACACCGCAAUUCCACGCCGUGUUUACUCGCCGAAAUCGUUAUCGCGGAUGUUUGUGUAAACGAGAAAUGUUUGGGUCCGACAAAUCUUCAAAACUCACAGAAAUAAUCGUCACGAUUCGUCUUUUAAUUAGAAACGCAUGAGCUGUCGCGGAAGCAUCGCGGCCAAGCGUGGUUGCAUUUCAUUAUAAUCGUUGUGCGUAGAAUGAUUUUAGCAGAUAUGUAAUGAUUAGCAGAUACAUUGCAGAAGUACAAUCACAUUUCUCAUCUGCGGUUGAAAUUGUCAAGAUGGUUCGAGACGAAUACUACAACUUUACAGAAUACUAAAGAGACAACGAUCGAAGUUAAAUUAGAGGAUUCGCUGGCGACGGAUAUUAUCGACGCGCAGAAUGGCUAACGUCGAGUAAUGUACGCGCGUGUAUUAUGCUUCAUCAUGUCUGCCACGUAUCAAGAUAGCAUGGUUCACUUUCCAUUCAUAAUAAUCGCAAUUUCAGCAGUCAUCGCGAUUAAUCGCGAUUAAUCUCCUGCGAAUGUUUAUUCUGCAAUUAUGAAUAAAGUGCUAAUAUGCAUACUCAAAUUAUAUGUAUAAACAACUAUUGCAAUACUUG